UAUAGACUAGACCUAGAAUAGAUCUAGAUCGAAAAUGUGUUCUAAGACAGCAGCCAUAAGAAAGAAGUUGUAAGCACACUAUACUUCUUAGUACCGGUACUCAACUAGUAAACUGCUGUUUUUAUAACAAAAGUUAAAUUUGAAAAGAAAAUGGGCAUUUUGGAAAAGAUUCAAGAAAUAGAGAGAGAAAUUUCUAGAACUCAAAAAAAUAAAGCCACUGAAUAUCAUUUGGGGCUUUUAAAAGCCAAGAUAGCAAAACUGAGGCAACAGUUACUGGAACCAACUGGAAAAACAGGACAA
rnacentral:sRNA from 1 species